GAUGAACGCUGGCGGCGUGCCUAAUACAUGCAAGUCGAGCGAACAGACGAGGAGCUUGCUCCUCUGACGUUAGCGGCGGACGGGUGAGUAACACGUGGAUAACCUACCUAUAAGACUGGGAUAACUUCGGGAAACCGGAGCUAAUACCGGAUAAUAUAUUGAACCGCAUGGUUCAAUAGUGAAAGACGGUUUUGCUGUCACUUAUCGAUGGAUCCGCGCCGCAUUAGCUAGUUGGUAAGGUAACGGCUUACCAAGGCAACGAUGCGUAGCCGACCUGAGAGGGUGAUCGGCCACACUGGAACUGAGACACGGUCCAGACGCCUACGGGAGGCAGCAGUAGGGAAUCUUCCGCAAUGGGCGAAAGCCUGACGGAGCAACGCCGCGUGAGUGAUGAAGGUCUUCGGAUCGUAAAACUCUGUUAUUAGGGAAGAACAAAUGUGUAAGUAACUAUGCACGUCUUGACGGUACCUAAUCAGAAAGCCACGGCUAACUACGUG
rnacentral:rRNA from 1 species